rnacentral:rRNA from 1 species
GACGAACGCUGGCGGCGUGCCUAAUACAUGCAAGUAGAACGCUGAAGAGAGGAGCUUGCUCUUCUUGGAUGAGUUGCGAACGGGUGAGUAACGCGUAGGUAACCUGCCUUGUAGCGGGGGAUAACUAUUGGAAACGAUAGCUAAUACCGCAUAACAAUGGAUGACACAUGUCAUUUAUUUGAAAGGGGCAAUUGCUCCACUACAAGAUGGACCUGCGUUGUAUUAGCUAGUAGGUGAGGUAACGGCUCACCUAGGCGACGAUACAUAGCCGACCUGAGAGGGUGAUCGGCCACACUGGGACUGAGACACGGCCCAGACUCCUACGGGAGGCAGCAGUAGGGAAUCUUCGGCAAUGGGGGCAACCCUGACCGAGCAACGCCGCGUGAGUGAAGAAGGUUUUCGGAUCGUAAAGCUCUGUUGUAAGUCAAGAACGAGUGUGAGAGUGGAAAGUUCACACUGUGACGGUAGCUUACCAGAAAGGGACGGCUAACUACGUGCCAGCCGCCGCAGUAACAC